GGACUACUGGGGUAUCUAAUCCUGUUUGAUCCCCACGCUUUCGUGCCUCAGCGUCAAUAUCUGCUUAGUGAGCUGCCUUCGCAAUUGGUGUUCUAUGUCAUAUCUAUGCAUUUCACCGCUACAUGACAUAUUCCGCCCACCUCAACAGAAUUCAAGACCAAUAGUAUCAAUGGCAGUUUCCAAGUUAAGCUCGGAGAUUUCACCACUGACUUAAAGGCCCGCCUACACACCCUUUAAACCCAGUAAAUCCGGAUAACGCUUGCACCCUCCGUAUUACCGCGGCUGCUGGCAC
rnacentral:rRNA from 2 species